AGGUUAGCAAACAAACUUACACAAAUAGCUAGUUUAUAACAGGCUUACUAAAGUAACUGUUAGCAAAGAGGCUCUUGGAAGAUAGCUGAUAGCAAAGAAGGUCCUUUGAGGUUCGGGUUCACAUUUCAGCCUUGCUGGCUCGGGCACCUGGCAGCCGCCCAUGGUAAGUGAGGGACUGCUGUCUCCAGACAGGAAGAAGUGGCUAGCCAUGCUUGAAAUUCGAAAUUUGGCAGAGGGUAUCAUUCUCUUUCCCAGAAUGGCAGGAUUCAUGACAUUAGUAUUCCUGGGCCUUGUGAGUUAUUGGAUUACAGGAUGCAGUGACCUAUAAUGAUAUGCAUGUUAACUUCACUUGGGAAGAGUGCGCUUUGCUGGAUUCUUCCCAGAAGAAUCUCUACAAAGAUGUGAUGCUAGAGACCUAAAAGCAUGUACCUCACUACUAUAGGCAUGAAAGAAAUCAUCCUGGAGAGAAACCUUCUGAAUAUACACAAUGUAUUAAAGGCUUUGCAGAUCACUUUCAUCUUCAAUAGCAUAAAAGAAUUCGUACUGGAGAGAAACCUUCUGACAGUAUUCAAUAUGAUGAAGCCUUUGCAUGUCACAAGAAUCCCCAAACUCAUCAAAGAACACAUACUAGAGAGAAACCCUAUGUGGUAAUCAAUGUGGUAAAACCUUUGUAUGUCAAAGUAGUCUCCAUAUACAUAAAAGUAUUUUCAUGUAUCAGUAAUCUUUGAAAACAUAAGAAAAUACUGCAGAGAAACCCUCUAAAUGUAUAAAGAUGAUCAAAGUUUUGCAAAUCAUGGUAGUCUUUAUACAAGAGUAAAACUUUUAGUGUGUAAUUAGUACAUUAAAGCCAUUGUAUGUAAUAGACUUUGAAGAUCCAAUAAAACUCAUACCAAAGAGUAUCUGAAUAUAAAUCAUUUGAUAAGAUCUUUAGCUAAUACACAUUCAGUUACACAGGACUAUUCUGUAGAAAAAAUGACAAGUGUCAAAAUCUGUUCUAG
rnacentral:lncRNA from 1 species